rnacentral:rRNA from 1 species
AAUCAACGCUGGCGGCGUGCCUCAGACAUGCAAGUCGAACGAUUAAAGCUCUCUUCGGAGAGUGCAUAAAGUGGCGCACGGGUGAGUAACACGUAAGUAAUCUACCUUCGAGUGGGGAAUAACGUCCGGAAACGGACGCUAAUACCGCAUAAUGCAGCGGCAUCGCAAGAUGACAGUUGUUAAAGAUUUAUCGCUUGAAGAGGAGCUUGCGGCAGAUUAGCUAGUUGGUAAGGUAAUGGCUUACCAAGGCUACGAUCUGUAACCGGUCUAAGAGGACGGUCGGUCACACUGACACUGAAUAACGGGUCAGACUCCUACGGGAGGCAGCAGUCGGGAAUUUUGGGCAAUGGGCGAAAGCCUGACCCAGCAACGCCGCGUGAAGGAUGAAGUAUUUCGGUAUGUAAACUUCGAAAGAAUGGGAAGAAUAAAUGACGGUACUAUUUAUAAGGUCCGGCUAACUACGUGCCAGCAGCCGCGGUAAC